UGGGGAAUAUUGCACAAUGGGCGAAAGCCUGAUGCAGCGACGCCGCGUGAGGGAUGACGGCCUUCGGGUUGUAAACCUCUUUCAGCAGGGACGAAGCGCAAGUGACGGUACCUGCAGAAUAAGCACCGGCUAACUACGUGCCAGCAGCCGCGGUAAUACGUAGGGUGCAAGCGUUGUCCGGAAUUACUGGGCGUAAAGAGUUCGUAGGCGGUUUGUCGCGUCGUUUGUGAAAACCAGCAGCUCAACUGCUGGCUUGCAGGCGAUACGGGGAGAGUUGAGUACUGCAGGGGAGACUGGAAAUCCUGGUGUAGAGGUGAAAUGCGCAGAUAUCAGGAGGAGCACCGGUGGCGAAGGCGGGUCUCUGGGCAGUAACUGACGCUGAGGAACGAAAGAGUGGGUAGCGAACAGG
rnacentral:rRNA from 1 species